rnacentral:rRNA from 1 species
GCUGGAGCAGGUCCCAAGGGUUUAGCUGUUCGCUAAUUAAAGCGGUACGCGAGCUGGGUUCAGAACGUCGUGAGACAGUUUGGUCCCUAUCUGUCGCGGGCGGAAGAUACUUGAGAGGAUCUGACCCCAGUACGAGAGGACCGGGUUGGACGUACCUCUGGUGUACCGGUCGUCACGCCAGUGGCGCUGCCGGGUAGCUAUGUACGGAAGGGAUAACCGCUGAAAGCAUCUAAGUGGGAAACCCGCCUCAAGAUGAGGUAUCUGGCGCAAGCCAUUAAGACCCCUCGAAGACUACGAGGUUGAUAGGCUGCAGGUGCAACGCAAGGAGCCGAGCAGUACUAAUCGGUCGACCGCGUGUCAUC